rnacentral:rRNA from 1 species
UACAGAGACUGCAAGCGUUGUUCGGAUUCAUUGGGCGUAAAGGGUCCGCAGGCGGUCUGUUAAGUCGGAUGUGAAAUCUCACAGCCUAACUGUGAUAGGUCAUUCGAAACUGACAGGCUCGAGGAAUGGAGAGGAAACUGGAAUAGCUGGUGUAGCGGUGAAAUGCGUAGAUAUCAGCUAGAACACCGGUGGCGAAGGCGGGUUUCUGGACAUUUCCUGACGCUCAGGGACGAAAGCCAGGGGAGCAAACGGG